rnacentral:lncRNA from 1 species
GAAAAUAAGUUUUCUUCAAUUUGAACUCCAUUUAAACUCAUUUUCACUUUGGUUUUUAGCUGUAGAUUCUUAAAAAUAUGGAAUACAUGUUAUUUAGAUAAAGUUAUGAUUUCACCCUUUUUUUUGAAAACCCAUUUUGGGGUCUAUUUUGACCUUGUCUCAAAAUAGGUAAUAUAAGUAUAGUUAGCUUUCUUUUGAUGUAUAGAUUCUAUAUUUCUAUAUUUUAGUUUAUUUCAG